CAGCAAUACAGCCAGGCAAGGUGAUGGGAGCAGCCCCAGCAGCUGGAUACAGGGACUGUUAUAUGCAAGAGAAUGUGGUAAUGCAUUACUUCAACAAAAAGAACAGAUUAUGAAACGAUCAACUGUCUGCUCUUAAAUUGGGUGGAUCCAAACUACAGAUUUUCCAAGCUAUAUUGUACUCCACUCAAAAGAAAAGACAAAAACUGAAAGAGAUUACAAUCUGUCUCAGAGAAGUAAAAAUAGAAUUCCGAUGGAGCUAUCCUUUUAAGCUUCUGUUUACCCAGGAAGGACAACAGCACACCAUAAAAGAUAAGGAAGAAGGAGUUAGAGGAUUCAGCAGAUUAAAACUUCUAAAAGACCACUGUGAAAACAUAAGCAGUUCCUGACAGAGGCGGAAUCACAAAACAGAAACAUGAAAUGGCAAAUUGUGAACAAAAAAGAAAGAAGGCCUUGAAGAAUAAAGACAAGAAAUCUGAAACAGAGAAUUUUAUAUCUACUGAUUUACAAGAGGACCUGUAUGAAAAUUAAUAAUUGUAAUGGGCUUUCUAAAUAUAAAUAAAUCCUGCAGACUUUAGUUACGUUUGAAACAUUAUCUGAAGUAAUUUGGGUAGAGAAACAUAUCUGGGUUUGAAAUGUCAGAGGGAGAGAACUUAAUUAGAUAGACAAAAGUUAAAAAUAAAUUUAAAAUGCUUUAAUAAAGAAUAGUGUUCCUGA